ACAGGACUAACAACAGACCCUACCUUCUCAGGCCAGGUCUCUUACACACAGGACUAACAACAGACCCUACCUUCUCAGGCCAGGUAAAACACACACAGGACUAACAACAGACCCUACCUUCUCAGGCCAGGUAAAACACACACAGGACUAACAACAGACCCUACCUUCUCAGGCCAGGUAAAACACACACAGGACUAACAACAGACCCUACCUUCUCAGGCCAGGUAAAAC